ensembl:snRNA U6 U6 spliceosomal RNA
GUCUUCUGUGCUCACUUUGACAGUGCAUAAAGUUGCAACACUACAGAGAAUGUUAGCCCCUGCACAAAAAUAACAUGCAAAUUCAUGAAGCAUUAAAAUAAUAA